rnacentral:rRNA from 1 species
GAUGAACGCUAGCUACAGGCUUAACACAUGCAAGUCGAGGGACCGGCGCACGGGUGAGUAACACGUAACCAACCUGCCCUUUACUCGGGGAUAGCCUUUCGAAAGAAAGAUUAAUACCCGCUAUAAAGGAUGGGGAUGCGUUCCAUUAGGUUGUUGGUGAGGUAACGGCUCACCAAGCCUUCGAUGGAUAGGGGUUCUGAGAGGAAGGUCCACCGCGAUGGAACUGAGGCACGGUCCAAAAUCCUACGGAAGGCAGCAGUGUGGAAUAUUGGUCAAUGUGCGCUGGCCUGAACCAGCCGAGUAGCGGGAAGGAGGAAGCCUUAUGGGUCGUAAUCUUCUUGUAUAUAAGAAUAUGUAUUAGAUGAAUAAGCAUCGGCUAACUCCGUGCCAGCAGCCGCGGUAAUAC